UACGUAGGGGCCUAGCGUUGUCCGGAUUUAUUGGGCGUAAAGAGCUCGUAGGCGGUUCGGUAAGUCAGGUGUGAAAUCUCCACGCUCAACGUGGAGGCGCCACCUGAAACUGCCGCGGCUCGAGCACUGUAGAGGCAGGCGGAAUUCCGGGUGUAGCGGUGGAAUGCGUAGAGAUCCGGAAGAACACCGGUGGCGAAGGCGGCCUGCUGGGCAGUAGCUGACACUGAGGCGCGACAGCGUGGGGAGCAAACAGG
rnacentral:rRNA from 1 species